CCUACGGGUGGCAGCAGUGAGGAAUAUUGGUCAAUGGGCGCGAGCCUGACCCAGCCAAGUAGCGUGAAGGAUGACUGCCCUACGGGUUGUACACUUCUUUUAUAAAGGAAUAAAGUGAGGCACGCGUGCCUUUUUGUAUGUACUUUAUGAAUAAGGAUCGGCUAACUCCGUGCCCGCAGACGCGGUAAUACGGAGGAUCCGAGCGUUAUCCGGAUUUAUUGGGGUUAAAGGGAGCGUAGAUGGGUUGUUAAGUCAGUUGUGAAAGUUUGCGGCUCAACCGUAAAAUUGCAAUGGAGACUGGCAGUCUUGAGUACAGUUGAGGUAGGCGGAAUUCGUGGUGUAGCGGUGAAAUGCUUAGAUAUCACGAAGAACUCCGAUUGCGAAGGCAGCUUACUAAACUGCCACUGACAUUGAUGCUCGAAAGUGUGGGUAUCAAACAGGAUUAGAUACCCCUGUAGUC
rnacentral:rRNA from 1 species